rnacentral:rRNA from 1 species
AUUGAACGCUGGCGGCAGGCCUAACACAUGCAAGUCGAGCGGAUGAAGGGAGCUUGCUCCUGGAUUCAGCGGCGGACGGGUGAGUAAUGCCUAGAAUCUGCCUGGUAGUGGGGGAUAACGUCCGGAAACGGGCGCUAAUACCGCCUACGUCCUGGGGGAGGAAGUGGGGGGUCUUCGGGCCUCACGCUAUCAGAUGAGCCUAGGUCGGAUUAGCUAGUUGGUGGGGUAAAGGCCUACCAAGGCGACGAUCCGUAACUGGUCUGAGAGGAUGAUCAGUCACACUGGAACUGAGACACGGUCCAGACUCCUACGGGAGGCAGCAGUGGGGAAUAUUGGACAAUGGGCGAAAGCCUGAUCCAGCCAUGCCGCGUGUGUGAAGAAGGUCUUCGGAUUGUAAAGCACUUUAAGUUGGGAGGAAGGGCAGUAAGUUAAUACCUUGCUGUUUUGACGUUACCAACAGAAUAAGCACCGGCUAACUUCGUG